CACUCGUGGAUCAGUGGCGAACGGGUGAGUAACACGUGAGUAACCUGCCCUCCACUCUGGGAUAAGCGCUGGAAACGGCGUCUAAUACUGGAUACGACCGACCCUCGCAUGGGGUGUUGGUGGAAAGAUUUAUCGGUGGUGGAUGGACUCGCGGCCUAUCAGCUUGUUGGUGGGGUAAUGGCCUACCAAGGCGACGACGGGUAGCCGGCCUGAGAGGGCGACCGGCCACACUGGGACUGAGACACGGCCCAGACUCCUACGGGAGGCAGCAGUGGGGAAUAUUGCACAAUGGGCGAAAGCCUGAUGCAGCGACGCCGCGUGAGGGAUGACGGCCUUCGGGUUGUAAACCUCUUUCAGCAGGGAAGAAGCUUUUGUGACGGUACCUGCAGAAGAAGCACCGGCUAACUACGUGCCAGCAGCCGCGGUAAUACGUAGGGUGCGAGCGUUGUCCGGAAUUAUUGGGCGUAAAGAGCUUGUAGGCGGUUUGUCGCGUCUGCUGUGAAAAUUCAGGGCUUAACCCUGGACGUGCAGUGGGUACGGGCAGACUAGAGU
rnacentral:rRNA from 1 species